GAUGAACGCUGGCGGCGUGCCUAAUACAUGCAAGUCGAGCGAACAGAUGAGGAGCUUGCUCCUCUGACGUUAGCGGCGGACGGGUGAGUAACACGUGGAUAACCUACCUAUAAGACUGGGAUAACUUCGGGAAACCGGAGCUAAUACCGGAUAAUAUAUUGAACCGCAUGGUUCAAUAGUGAAAGACGGUUUUGCUGUCACUUAUAGAUGGAUCCGCGCCGCAUUAGCUAGUUGGUAAGGUAACGGCUUACCAAGGCAACGAUGCGUAGCCGACCUGAGAGGUGGGCCGGCCACACGGGAACGGAGCCACGGUCCAGACUCCUACGGGAGGCAGAAGUAGGGAAUCUUCCGAAAUGGGCGAAAGCCGGACGGAGCAACGCCGCGUGAGUGAUGAAGGUCUUCGGAUCGAAAAACUCUGUUAUUAGGGAAGAACAAAUGUGUAAGUAACUGUGCACGUCUUGACGGUACCUAAUCAGAAAGCCACGGCUAACUACGUG
rnacentral:rRNA from 1 species